AUCAGACCUCUGAAGUCAAAAUGAAACGUUCUCGAUGGUAUUUUGAAACUGGAGUGAUUACCGUUUCAUAUGGAAAGCAUAUAGAAAAAUAUGCAUUAUGUAAUAAAAUAUGCACAUUUUAAUAAAUAUUUUCCCAAGACUACUGGACCAAAAUAACCGUUGUUUCGCACACAAUGCACUGUAUGAUAACAAAAAAUGGACCGAUGAGGUUUUCUUUGGUUGUUAAAUCACCUUGGAUUUCUACAUUGAAUUCAAUGGCCAGGAAGUGCUUUUGCCCUCAAGUAUGCAGAGUAGAGGCUGUUUCCCUGCUACUUCCUAGGCUUCACUGCCCCUCCUACCCUCUCCAGUUUCUAUGUACACUUUAUGGUUCAAUGAACCAACCUUCCCUAUAUGAUACUGGAAAAUUACGCUACUCAAGAAAGUAAGGUAAGGUAAUCUUUAUUAUCCCUGAGGGGCAAUUUGUUGCACAGCCAGCAGUAAAUACAAUCAUUAUCAAGAAAGAUGUGGUUCCUAGCCAGUUAUGGUAAUGUAUGGGUAAAUAGUAUUAUACUUGCAUAAGAUGUAUUCCAGACAGUAUCACCAUAUGAUCUUUCUUUUACCUGUCACCAAUUGCAAUUCAUAUAUUUCUGAUUUGACAAUAAGUAUCCAGAAGGACAGAAAGAAACCAGAGUUUCUGUGUUGACAGUUGACUGUGGCUUUAAUGGUGUUGGAGGUCAACAGUCCUAGAGUUUAUUUACCUUCUGUGAAUGUCACCAUAGUGUGUGAAAUAAAUAUUCAGAAAAUGUUCUCUGCUUAUUUGUUGGUAUUACUGAUUUAUCUGUUUGGUUCACCCACAUCCAACCCAUGGCCAUAAGAACAGUGUUAGACCUGGCAUCAAUGACAUUAUUGUGUCUGCCUCACAUACAGAACAUUAAACACAUUUCAAAGCUGUCCUACACAAGCUACAGGAGGCUGGUUGCAUCUGAACAAAGACAAAUGGCAUGAUUCUGCCGUCCAUUAUGCUCCAACUCCCAGUGGCUCUACGUCCCUCAGGUCCUUCCUUGGCCUGACCCUGCGGUACACCAAGUUUAUUCCAAACUACGAAACCAUCACAGAACCAGUGAGAUAUCUGCUCUGUGAGCCUAUGUUCAUAUGGAUUGCUGAUGCACAGAACAGUUUCUACAGGCCUGGAGCUGAGAACAGUACUGCAGUCUACCCUGUGAGGAUGGCGGCCAUGGACAUGGAACCUGAGACUGCUGCUUUUUCCUGCUGCCUGCCGUUUCCACGUCUGACUCGACAGAUCCCUGCUGCUCGUGCCUAGAGCUAAGUAAACUGCGCACCUACAUCACAAAUGAGUGGCCUGCUACAGCCAAAUCACUGCCUACAGACAUGAUGCCAUACUACCGGAUUAAAGAUGAACUGUCAAUGCAUGAGUCACUAAUGCUGCUGCUACAGUGUUUAGCCAUACAGGAAAUCAAAUAACUAUAGUGGCAGACAACAGUCUACAGCUGAUCUCUGUCAUCUUUCUUGGAAGGCAGAGAGAUAAAGCACAUUCGUACAGCUGUAUAUCAUCCCAGAAAGAAAUGCAGUGGUGGGGAGAUUCAGUGUUCACAUAGUGCAUUUUUGCUGUACAGAGAGAAAACGCUCCAUGGGAAGCUCAUGUUCCUCCAGAUCUACAGGGCAACAUCACGUGACUACAUCACAGUUCAAACUUCUGUAUGGACUUAAGAUGAGAACCAAAGUCGCCAUUGAGCCGAAGAUCCCAGUCGCUGAAGACAACGAGCUGCGAGACAGAGCUGAAAAGAAACAACUGAAUAUGAAAACACACAUUGAUCAAAAGAGACGUGUAAACCCACCCAAUAUCUGCUCAGCAAGUCUUGUACGUGUGAGGAGACCCGAGCUCGUGAGAAAAGGAAAAUCAAAGUUCGGCGAGCCUCUUUGAGUGACACAUCAGACGGGAUCAUGCAGUUGCACAUUGAGUGAUGGAAAGACUCGGGAUGCUGCCCACCUGUCUGUGCUGCCAGUGAGGCUCCCUCCUGUGGCUGAAUAACAACAAGCAGUGGAGCCUGAAUCAAGUACCACUGCAAGAGCUGAGAGCCAGCGCAGCAGUAGGGAGCCUGCCUGGCUCAAGGACUUGGCUACAGCUUGUCAGGCUGGUUUCUGUCGGGCCCUAAAGACAUUGGUCUCAGGCAGGCUCAGGCCUCAUUUGUUUCCCGGUGCAGACCUCUACUUCUUCAUAUACAGUGUUGGCCAGUUUUGAUGAUUUUAUUUGAAGCAUGCAUGUGUUGGUAUAGAAUAUUAUACCUCAAAUAUAUGUAUUCUGACAUUCCCUGUUCACUUUUUUUUUUACUCUGUUUUCUCUGGACAUUUUCACACUUAUCCCCAACUUAAAGUUUAAAAGACCAGAUAACAGCCAACACAUCCAACAAACGUCUAUGCACAACCUCCCCCUAUACACACACUUUUUUGGUGUGAGCAUCGACCCCUGCUGUAAUUCCCUACAUGAUCAAACACAAAAUAGGUAUCUACUUUCUAAUGCCCCCCUGUCAGACACCUUCACUACUACGCAAAGCAUGUCAUUUGUAAGCAAAACCAGACAUGUAGUGAUACUCCCUGGCUCUUACUGGUUAAUCUGUCAAAAAUAGUUUACAUUCUUUUAGCUACCAUUGCCUAACAUUGCCAUCUUUUGCAUGGUGAAGGUAUGACAGCCUCUCACUGACCACAAUGGGAUAGUUAAUAAUUUGAUUUUUGGAAGCUAAAAUGAUGUAACUUUUAAAUAUGCUGGCACUGUGAUUGUGCAUAUUCAAAUUACAUUUGCAUCCGUUUUCAAAACUUAUUUUUGAUAUUUCAACUACCUUUAAACGGGAGUAAGCAUUCUUGGUUGCACUUGCUCAGUUGGUCAAGACGAAUUUUGAUAUGUGAAAAUUAUUUGAUAACUUGAUAACAAUCUGUAUAAUUUCCAUCAGAAAAUCUGUAAAAUGAGCUGUAUCCAACCCAUUGAAGGCAUUGCCAUGAUGCCAAAGAGGGGAGCAGUUCUUAUAACCAAUAGGAUCAUAAAGCACACCCACCAACUAAAAAGUCUAAAGGUAACUCACACAAGUUACUGGUAGCUUUUUUCCCUUUUGGUUUUUUCCCCCUCUUUUUGCUUUUCCCCAUUUUCUAUUAUGGCAUUUGUGGUAGUUUUUGUCUUUUUUGUUCUAUGGAGUUACAUUUGUGUCUGUUAUGCAAGCAAACCUUUUCACAAUGCAAUCAAUUUUUUUUAUUCUAUUGAAAGAAAAAUAUACAUUCAGUUUUUGAGACUGAAUAUAAAUGACUUGUUAGCAAAACUAUUUGUAUUGAAAAAAAUAAGAUAAAAUUAGUACUAUUUUAA